AUCCAGAAAGAUGAUGUGUAUACA
rnacentral:siRNA from 1 species